GAAUUCGCCCUUAGAGUUUGAUCCUGGCUCAGGACGAACGCUGGCGGCGUGCCUAACACAUGCAAGUCGAGCGGAGAAGUGAGUAGCUUGCUACGAACUGUUUUAGCGGCGGACGGGUGAGUAACGCGUGAGCAACCUUUCCCAGACAGGGGAAUAACACACCGAAAGGUGUACUAAUACCGCAUAAGACCACGGAAUCACAUGGUUCUGGGGUAAAAGAUUUAUCGGUUUGGGGUGGGCUCGCGUCCGAUUAGGUAGUUGGUGAGGUAACGGCCCACCAAGCCGACGAUCGGUAGCCGACCUGAGAGGGUGAUCGGCCACAUUGGGACUGAGACACGGCCCAAACUCCUACGGGAGGCAGCAGUGGGGAAUAUUGGGCAAUGGAGGAAACUCUGACCCAGCAACGCCGCGUGGAGGAAGAAGGUUUUCGGAUCGUAAACUCCUGUCCUUGGAGACGAGUAGAAGACGGUAUCCAAGGAGGAAGCCCCGGCUAACUACGUGCCAGCAGCCGCGGUAAUACGUAGGGGGCAAGCGUUGUCCGGAAUAAUUGGGCGUAAAGGGCGCGUAGGCGGCUCGGUAAGUCUGGAGUGAAAGUCCUGCUUUUAAGGUGGGAAUUGCUUUGGAUACUGUCGGGCUUGAGUGCAGGAGAGGUUAGUGGAAUUCCCAGUGUAGCGGUGAAAUGCGUAGAGAUUGGGAGGAACACCAGUGGCGAAGGCGACUAACUGGACUGUAACUGACGCUGAGGCGCGAAAGUGUGGGGAGCAAACAGGAUUAGAUACCCUGGUAGUCCACACUGUAAACGAUGAAUGCUAGGUGUAGGGGGUAUCGACCCCUUCUGUGCCGCAGUCAACACAAUAAGCAUUCCGCCUGGGGAGUACGGCCGCAAGGUUGAAACUCAAAGGAAUUGACGGAAG
rnacentral:rRNA from 1 species